UAGGUGCUGGGAAUACAAAAAGAGCUAUGGA
rnacentral:piRNA from 1 species